rnacentral:rRNA from 1 species
UGAAGAUUUGGUGAUUGAGUGGCGGACGGGUGAGUAACACGUAUCCAACCUGCCGAUGACUCGGGGAUAGCCUUUCGAAAGAAAGAUUAAUACCCGAUGGCAUAGUUCUUCCGCAUGGUGGAACUAUUAAAGAAUUUCGGUCAUCGAUGGGGAUGCGUUCCAUUAGGUUGUUGGCGGGGUAACGGCCCACCAAGCCUUCGAUGGGUAGGGGGUUCUGAGAGGAAGGUCCCCCCACAUUGGAACUGAGACACGGUCCAAACUCCUACGGGAGGCAGCAUG